GAUGAACGCUGGCGGCGUGCUUAACACAUGCAAGUCGAACGGUGAAGGCGGAGCUUGCUCUGCUGGAUUAGUGGCGAACGGGUGAGUAACACGUGAGCAAUCUGCCCCUGACUCUGGGAUAAGCGCUGGAAACGGCGUCUAAUACUGGAUACGAGCUGCGAAGGCAUCUUCAGCAGCUGGAAAGAACUUCGGUCAGGGAUGGGCUCGCGGCCUAUCAGCUCGUUUGUGAGGUAACGGCUCACCAAGGCGUGGAAGGGUAGCCGGCCUGAGAGGGUGACCGGCCCAACUAGGCCUGAGCCACGACACAGCCUCGUACGGGAGGCAGGGGUGGGGAAUAGUGCAUAAUGGGCGAAAGCCUGGUGCGGCAACGCCACGUGGGGGACGACGGCCUUGGGGUUGUAAACCUCUUUUCGCAGGGAAGAAGCGAAAGUGACGGUACCUGCAGAAAAAGCGCCGGCUAACUACGUG
rnacentral:rRNA from 1 species